UACGUAGGGGGCAAGCGUUGUCCGGAUUCAUUGGGCGUAAAGAGCGUGUAGGCGGCCUGAAAGGUCAGCUGUGAAAACUCGAGGCUCAACCUCGAGACGUCGGCGGAAACCAUCUGGCUAGAGUCCGGAAGAGGAGAGUGGAAUUCCUGGUGUAGCGGUGAAAUGCGCAGAUAUCAGGAAGAACACCCGUGGCGAAGGCGGCUCUCUGGGACGGUACUGACGCUGAGACGCGAAAGCGUGGGGAGCGAACAGG
rnacentral:rRNA from 1 species